rnacentral:rRNA from 1 species
CUACGGGGGGCUGCAGUAAGGAAUAUUGCGCAAUGGAGGCAACUCUGACGCAGCCAUGCCGCGUGCAGGAAGAAGGCCUUAUGGGUCGUAAACUGCUUUUAUUUAGGAAUAAACCCCCGAACGUGUUCGGGGCUGAAGGUACUAAACGAAUAAGCACCGGCUAACUCCGUGCCAGCAGCCGCGGUAAUACGGAGGGUGCAAGCGUUAUCCGGAUUUAUUGGGUUUAAAGGGUGCGCAGGCGGGCUAUUAAGUCAGUGGUGAAAUCCCGGGGCUCAACUCCGGAACUGCCAUUGCUACUGAUAGUCUUGAGGUUGGUUGAAGUGGGCGGAAUGUAGCAUGUAGCGGUGAAAUGCAUAGAUAUGCUACAGAACACCAAUCGCGAAGGCAGCUCACUAAGCCAAAACUGACGCUCAUGCACGAAAGCGUGGGGAUCAAACAGGAUUAGAUACCCCCGUAGUC